GUGGGUGUAGCCCAGUGGUAGAGCGCAUGCUUAACAUGCAUGCGGUCCUGGGUUCAAUCCCCAGGACCUCCA
rnacentral:tRNA from 1 species